rnacentral:rRNA from 1 species
AGUGAACGCUGGCGGUAGGCCUAACACAUGCAAGUCGAACGGCAGCACAGUAAGAGCUUGCUCUUACGGGUGGCGAGUGGCGGACGGGUGAGGAAUACAUCGGAAUCUACUUUUUCGUGGGGGAUAACGUAGGGAAACUUACGCUAAUACCGCAUACGACCUACGGGUGAAAGCAGGGGAUCUUCGGACCUUGCGCGAUUGAAUGAGCCGAUGUCGGAUUAGCUAGUUGGCGGGGUAAAGGCCCACCAAGGCGACGAUCCGUAGCUGGUCUGAGAGGAUGAUCAGCCCAACUGGAACUGGGACACGGUCCAGACUCCUACGGGAGGCAGCAGUUGGGAAUAUUUGACAAUGGGCGGAAGCCUGAUCCAGCCAUGCCGCGGGGGUGAAGAAGGCCUUCGGGUUGUAAAGCCCUUUUGUUGGGAAAGAAAAGCAGCAGGUUAAUACCCCGCUGUUCUGACGGUACCCAAAGAAUAAGCACCGGCUAACUUCGUG